AGUCGGCAGCUCACUAUCCUCCACUAGUCCCAGGUUUGACCGUUUCUCAAACCGUGCCUUCCCAUUUAUGCUGCAUCCGCGCCCUGAAUCUGAAAUUGGUCGUCCUGCCACGCCGCCUCACCGCGGUAUAAGGUCGUCCCAUCCUGAAUGGCCGGUGCGCAGACUCAAUUGCGACUUUGAGGCUGUCAGCCGCCACCCGGCAACCUUCCAGUGAACAGGAUUCUGGGUUUCUCAAAGCUGUAAUUGGAGGGCCACUCCAGAGGUGUUAAAGCUCCAGCACUUCGAGCCUGCCUCGUGGGAAAGUCUUAGGCUGAGUCUGUAGGUGUCUGCAGUUAAGAAGCCAGCGGUCUGCAUAUGAUUGCUCAGGGGUGGUGGCUGGGUCCAACAGCAUUCACUACAGGCCUGCCUUGAAUACCACCUAGCGCAGUGCUCCGCAUAUCACAGGGGCUGGAAACCUAACAAUUUCACUUCCUAGACAACUUGCUAAAAGUCACCUAAAGACAGUCUGGUUACUGCCAAAGAUAUGCUUUCAAAUAAGAUUUGGAUAAAGAAGGGAGGUAGAUGCCUUUUUUCAGCAGUGGAGUGAUGUCUAGACCAGUAGAUGUACGCAUCUAAGUGAAUUCAUCACCAGCAACAAUUUCCAGAAACUUCCUGACCUCCAGAUUGCAGCUUCAUUAGUGUGAGUUUAAAGCCAACUAGAUGCCAUUCUCAGAUUCCACGCAUAUGGCCAAGGGUCCAGGAAAUAAGAAGAAACAGGUUGAGGGGUUGGUGUUAUGGGGCAUUUACUUGAAUUUUCUAUGCUAUAAUUGUCUCAUCUUUAAAACGGUGAUAAUAAUAAAAUUGUCAGUUAUUAAAUAAAUUAACACAGUGAAAAAAAA
rnacentral:lncRNA from 1 species